rnacentral:rRNA from 1 species
UACGGAGGAUCCGAGCGGUAUCCGGAUUUAUUGGGUUUAAAGGGAGCGUAGGUGGAUUGUUAAGUCAGUUGUGAAAGUUUGCGGCUCAACCGUAAAAUUGCAGUUGAAACUGGCAGUCUUGAGUACAGUAGAGGUGGGCGGAAUUCGUGGUGUAGCGGUGAAAUGCUUAGAUAUCACGAAGAACUCCGAUUGCGAAGGCGGCUUACUGGACUGUAACUGACGUUGAGGCUCGAAAGCGUGGGGAGCAAACAGG